UGGAAGUAAAAGUCGUAACAAGGUCUCCGUUGGUGAACCAGCGGAGGGAUCAUUACAGAGUUGCAAAACUCCCCAAACCAUUGUGAACCUACCCAAAAAACCGUUGCUUCGGCGGGCGGCGCCCGGGGUCUCCCCGGGUCGCCCCUCGGCCCCCGCGCGGGCGCCCGCCGGAGGAUUAUACAACACCCUGUUUGCUCUCUAUGGCCUCUCUGAGUCUCUGUACUGAAUAAGUCAAAACUUUCAACAACGGAUCUCUUGGUUCUGGCAUCGAUGAAGAACGCAGCGAAAUGCGAUAAGUAAUGUGAAUUGCAGAAUUCAGUGAAUCAUCGAAUCUUUGAACGCACAUUGCGCCCGCCAGUAUUCUGGCGGGCAUGCCUGUUCGAGCGUCAUUUCAACCAUCGAGCCCCCGGGCUUGUGUUGGGGACCUGCGGCUGCCCGCAGGCCCUGAAAACCAGUGGCGGGCUCGCUGUCACCCCGAGCGUAGUAGUUAUCCAACUCGCCCAGGGCGUGCUGCGGGUUCCGGCCGUUAAGCCACCCAUUACCCCAAGGUUGACCUCGGAUCAGGUAGGAAUACCCGCUGAACUUAAGCAUAUCAAUAAGCGGAGGAA
rnacentral:rRNA from 1 species